AGUAAUCAAGGAUCUUUGGUAUGGACGUGUGAGUUUUCUUCGGGACUAACGCGAGUUAGUUUGCGUGUCUGUUUCAUCCGUUAAAAUAGAGACGGCAAAGAGUUCGGGGUCAUGGAGAGAGGCCUCGUGAAAACCAUGAAUCACUCCAGCCGGCGCGAGAGUGACUGGCAGGGUCUCGUGAGUGAGUUCCUGGUGUGUAAGCGUAAGCUGGAGAGUAAGAAGGAGGCUCUGCUGAUCCUGUCCAGAGAGCUGGACUGCUGCCAGCAGGAGAGAGACCAGUACAAGCUGAUGGCCAACACCCUCCGCGAACGCCACCAGAACCUCAAGGAGAAAUACCACACACUCAUAGAUGGUGACCCCUCCCUGUCGCCAGAGAAACGGAACCAGGUGAGUUUGGCCCAGUUGUUGUUUGAGGCUCGCGAGCGCAAUCGUAAGCAGGGGGAGGAGCUACAGGACCUGAAACAGAGACUGACUGAGGCACAGGGAGACAACAAGUUGCUGAGGAUGAGCAUCACCAGGCAGCGUUUGGGUGAUGAGGAGGCAGGGAUCAGGCAUUUCCCCGCACACGAACGUGAACAGCUGGUUCGUCAGCUAGAGGAGGCGGGGUUACAGAGGGAGCAGCUGGACUACACUGUGAAGUGUGUGUCUGACGAGCUGGUGGAUGUGUGUGUGGAGCGGGAUGUGUUCAGAGAGAAGGCCGAGCGACUCAACAUGGAACUCAACCGCAUCCUGAGUGGACACGACUCGCGCAUCAUCGAUGUGGACACCCUCUGCACGGACAACAGGUAUCUUCAGGAGCGUCUCAAGCAGGUGCAAGAGGAAGUCACCCUUUUAAAGUCCACCAUCAUGAAAUACAAGACUGCUUUGGAGCGGAUGAGAAGCCCUAAAGGAUGUGGGAAGUCGGGCAGCACUUUGACUAAUGUCCUGACAACUAGACAAGUAGGAAGGGAUGCCAUCACCUUGAGUGACAGCCUUCGUCCUGCCUCUCUGCUUCAACCAGAGUCCUUCCCUGCCUCAAGAGACCAGCCAAUCAUGGAGACAACAGGAAGUGAAGGGGAAUCGCCAUGGAGACCAAGGUCAGCUGAUGAUUCAUGCCCUGCUCUGGGUCAGAGAGCAGCAUCAGUGACUGACAUGCAGGAGGGAGGGGCUUGCCUGGCAACACCCCUAGUGGAGGAGGAGACGCAUGAGCCAGUGGAGGAGUGUGGCCAGCGUUCUGUAGAGGAGGAGCCAAGCCUCGACUUGGGGGAAGGGUCUAGUCUGGAAACUCCUGAAUGCCAGGAGGAGGCGGUCCCAGAGCUACUCGGAGGAGGGGCCUACGAUGUGAACACGCCCUCUGGAGGAGGGGCUCUAUCUGAGGAAACAGUCAUGGAGGGAGGGGCCACAGACAAGGAUACACCCAUUGAAGGAGGGGCUACAGAUAUCAACACAUCCACGGUGGGAGGGGUCAAGGACAUGGACACACCCCGUGAAGGAGGGGUCAAGGACAUGGGCACACCCAUUGAGGGAGGGGCCAAGGACAUGGACACUUGUUGAUGUGAUUGUCCAGCAGAGAGGUCAUUGUGCUCUCACUUCACACAGGGGAGGCUCGUCCAUAGAGGAGGAAGGACAAUACUCACAAACUUACAUACACACACACACACACACUCAUGACCUUGAGGAAAGGGAGGACAAUAGAGUUCACAAUAGAUAUUUCAAAAAAUUUUGAACGCCAGUCUAUGGCGAAAAAUAAAUGAUUUUCUGAUAUCGGAAGAG